UUUAACAAGUUCCUCUUGUCUAAUCUGACAUGCUCCAGCAGUAUCUUACCCUGUCUCCUGAGCAAGCUCUCACACUGCACUGCUACUACUGCCUCCCUCCAUGCGGUAUAAACUGUUACCUGAGCAAGAGCAGUAACAGCAAAGAGGGCCUGGGGGGUCAGUUCUGCCUGAGAGUUUGGCAGUGGUGCCCGCGGUCGUCAACAGAAUUGCUCUCUCUAAUUAAAAACGAAACACCUCUAUGUAUCACCCUUCUCCAGUCCCAGCCUUAGAACAUCCACAGCCGUCUCCCAUCCCUUCAUAUCAAGACAGCUCCAUGUGUGCUGUUUUAAUUAUCUUAGACUCUAGGGAUAAGACAGAAAUGUGGGUUCCAUACCAUAGUAACGAAAGAAAAAAUAUAGGAAGAAAAUGAAGGAAUCUCUUGUCACAAAGGCUGUGACAUUCCGUCACUCACAGGCACAGAACCAGUUGAAUUAUUACUUAGAGUAUUCUUAGAACUGUACCCAAAUUAGGACAUCACUUUUUGUAGCUCCAUCUUGUAGAGCUUUGCUUUUCAUUGUUAAGCUUCUCGAGUUAGAGGUUCAGGGACAGGCUUUCUAGGCAGCCCAAUAAACAUUGUGGAUUUUAUCUCUUUAGAGAUUAGGGCAAGGGCAUUCAAGCUUAAUAACCUCAAUUACAGUUUCUAACUUCUUCUACCUGAGAACCUUAAACAGGAAAGAGAAAAGGAGAUUGAACAAAAAGAGCUAGUAUGCUCCGUGUAAAGAAAAAAAUUAACAUGCUCCUGCUUAUACAUUACUAGACAUACUUCCCAGUCCCUCCCUGGAGAGCUGUUGUCAAAGUUUUGGGACUGUUGAGAAGCAACCAGUAAAAUUACACAUGGUUAACUGUGGUCCAGAAGCAGAUGAUCCUCCUUCUGACUAUCAUCAGGAGGUCAGUAGUCACCUCGUGCUGCAUCACAAUGCCUGUGUUAUUCACCUCACUUCAUCUCAUCACAUGGGAAUUUUAUCAUCUCACAUCUCACCCGAAAAGAGGAAGUGUUGAGUACGGCAUAGAGAGAGAGAGAGAGAGGCAGAGACACAGGCAGAGGGAGAAGCAGGCUCCAUG